GAAACUCAAAUGAAUUGACGGUCCCGCACAAGCAGCGGAGCGUGUGGUUUAAUUCGAUGCUACACGAAGAACCUUACCUGGGUUUGACAUAGAGGUAGUAGGGAAGCGAAAGCGGACCGACCCUUCGGGGAGCCUCUACAGGUGUUGCAUGGCUGUCGUCAGCUCGUGUCGUGAGAUGUUCGGUUAAGUCCGCUAACGAGCGCAACCCUCGCUGUGUGUUACAAGUGUCACACGGUACUGCCGAUAUUAAGUCGGAGGAAGGUGGGGAUGACGUCAAGUCAGCAUGACCUUUAUAUCCAGGGCUACACACACGCUACAAUGGCCAGUACAAUGGGUUGCCAAGCCGCGAGGCGGAGCCAAUCCUAAAAAGCUGGCCUCAGUUCAGAUUGCAGUCUGCAACUCGACUGCAUGAAGUUGGAGUUGCUAGUAACCGCAGGUCAGCAAUACUGCGGUGAAUACGUUCCCGGGGAUU
rnacentral:rRNA from 1 species